GAGUUUGAUCCUGGCUCAGAUUGAACGCUGGCGGCAUGCCUUACACAUGCAAGUCGAACGGCAGCACGGGAGCUUGCUCCUGGUGGCGGAGUGGCGAACGGGUGAGUAAUGCACUCGGAACGUAGUCCUGGAGUGGGGGAUAACGUAGCGAAAGUUACGCUAAUACCGCAUAUUCUGUGAGCAGGAAGCGGGGACCUUCGGCCUCGCGCUCUUGGAGCGGCCGAUGUCGGAUUAGCUAGUUGGUGAGGU
rnacentral:rRNA from 1 species